AACGAACGCUGGCGGCAGGCUUAACACAUGCAAGUCGAACGCCCCGCAAGGGGAGUGGCAGACGGGUGAGUAACGCGUGGGAAUCUACCCCACUCUACGGAAUAACUCAGGGAAACUUGUGCUAAUACCGUAUACGUCCUUCGGGGGAAAGAGUUAUCGGAGUUGGAUGAGCCCGCGUUGGAUUAGCUAGUUGGUGGGGUAAAGGCCUACCAAGGCGACUAUCCAUAGCUGGUCUGAGAGGAUGAUCAGCCACAUUGGGACUGAGACACGGCCCAAACUCCUACGGGAGGCAGCAGUGGGGAAUAUUGGACAAUGGGCGCAAGCCUGAUCCAGCCAUGCCGCGUGAGUGAUGAAGGCCCUAGGGUUGUAAAGCUCUUUCACCGGUGAAGAUAAUGACGGUAACCGGAGAAGAAGCCCCGGCUAACUUCGUGCCAGCCGUCGCGGUAA
rnacentral:rRNA from 1 species